AUUUAUUUUUCAAUUUCACAAGAACAAACAAAUGUUUAUUUUCAUAAAAUUUGUAAUAGAUUCGACAUCAAAGAUUCUGGCCCAUAUGUCAAUAUUAAUGGCAAAUCUGAACGUGCGCAAGCGGGGAUUUCCGAUUUCAUUAUUUGAAGAACUCGGCCAUUUGGACUCCGAUGCCGAAGCCAAUCCAGAAGCAUUUAGUCACUCAGAAACGACAUAUCAAGAUGAUCUGCGUUCACCGUUCACUAAGGCAAAAAAUAAAACAUACAACAAUACUUUUGUCAUAAAGCCCUUGGACUGUAAAUAGAUUAAUAAAUGCAUAUACCAAUUUAAAAA